rnacentral:rRNA from 1 species
CCUACGGGCGGCAGCAGUGAGGAAUAUUGGUCAAUGGGCGCGAGCCUGAACCAGCCAAGUAGCGUGAAGGAUGACUGCCCUACGGGUUGUAAACUUCUUUUAUAAAGGAAUAAAGUGAGGCACGUGUGCCUUUUUGUGUGUACUUUAUGAAAAAGGAUCGGCUAACUCCGUGCCAGCAGCCGCGGUAAUACGGAGGAUCCGAGCGUUAUCCGGAUUUAUUGGGUUUAAAGGGAGCGUAGAUGGGUUGUUAAGUCAGUUGUGAAAGUUUGGGGCUCAACCCCAGAAGUGCAGUUGAUACUGGCAGUCUUGAGUGCAGUUGAGGUAGGCGGAAUGCGUGGUGUAGCGGUGAAAUGCUUAGAUAGCACGAAGAACUCCGAUUGCGAAGGCAGCUUACUAAACUGCCACUGACAUUGAUGCUCGAAAGUGUGGGUAUCAAACAGGAUUAGAUACCCGUGUAGUC